UACAGAGGGGGCAAGCGUUAUUCGGAAUUAUUGGGCGUAAAGGGCGCGUAGGCGGCUUUUCAAGUGACGGGUGAAAUCCCUCGGCUUAACCGAGGAACUGCCUGUCAGACUGGAAGGCUUGAGUUUGGGAGAGGGAUGCGGUAAGUUCCAGGUGUAGCGGUAGAAAUGCGUAGAUAUCUGGAGGAACACCGGUGGCGAAGGCGGCAUCCUGGACCAACACUGACACUGAGGAGCGAAAGCCAGGGGAGCAAACGGG
rnacentral:rRNA from 1 species